UUGGAGGGCAGUCUGGUGCCAGCAGCCGCGGUAAUUCCAGCUCCAAUAGCGUAUAUUAAAGUUGUUGCAGUUAAAAAGCUCGUAGUUGAACUUCGGGGUCUACCCAUUGGUCAGGCUUAAUUGUCUGUACUGGUGAGAUGGAUCUCUACCUUCUGAGGAACUUUCAUGCCAUUUAUUUGGUGUGAUGGGAAAUCAGGACUGUCACUUUGAAAAAAUUAGAGUGUUUAAAGCAGACUAUCGUCUGAAUACAUUAGCAUGGAAUAAUGAAAUAGGACGGACUGAUUCUAUUUCGUUGGUUUCUAGGAUCACCGUAAUGAUUAGUAGGGAUAGUUGGGGGCAUUAGUAUUCAAUUGUCAGAGGUGAAAUUCUUGGAUUUAUUGAAGACUAACUACUGCGAAAGCAUUUGCCAAGGAUGUUUUCAUUAAUCAAGAACGAAAGUUAGGGGAUCGAAGACGAUCAGAUACCGUCGUAGUCUUAACCAUAAACUAUGCCGACUAGGGAUCGGACGAAGUUAAUUUUAUAAUGACGCGUUCGGCGCCUUACGGGAAAC
rnacentral:rRNA from 1 species